rnacentral:rRNA from 1 species
AGUGAACGCUGGCGGUAGGCCUAACACAUGCAAGUCGAACGGCAGCACAGUAAGAGCUUGCUCUUACGGGUGGCGAGUGGCGGACGGGUGAGGAAUACAUCGGAAUCUACUUUUUCGUGGGGGAUAACGUAGGGAAACUUACGCUAAUACCGCAUACGACCUACGGGUGAAAGCAGGGGAUCUUCGGACCUUGCGCGAUUGAAUGAGCCGAUGUCGGAUUAGCUAGUUGGCGGGGUAAAGGCCCACCAAGGCGACGAUCCGUAGCUGGUCUGAGAGGAUGAUAAGCCAAACUGGAACUGAGAACCGGUCCAGACCCUUACGGGAGGCAGCAGGGGGGAAUAUUGGACAAUGGGCGAAAGCCUGAUCCAGCCAUACCGCGUGGGUGAAGAAGGCCUGCGGGUUGUAAAGCCCUUUUGUUGGGAAGAAAAGCAGCAGGUUAAUACCCCGCUGUUCUGACGGUACCCAAAGAAUAAGCACCGGCUAACUUCGUG